rnacentral:rRNA from 1 species
CCUACGGGAGGCAGCAGUGGGGGAUAUUGCACAAUGGGGGAAACCCUGAUGCAGCGACGCCGCGUGAGUGAAGAAGUAUUUCGGUAUGGAAAGCUCUAUCAGCAGGGAAGAAAAUGACAGUACCGGACCAAGAAGCCCCGGCUAACUACGGGCCAGCAGCCGAGGUAAUACGUAGGGGGCAAGCGUUAUCCGGAUUUACUGGGUGUAAAGGUAGCGUAGACGGUUAUGUAAGGCUGGAGUGAAAGCCCGGGGCCCAACCCCGGGACUGCUUUGGAAACUGGGUAACUGGAGUACAGUAGGGGCAGGCGGAAGUCCUGGUGUAGCGGUGAAAUGCGUAGAUAGCAGGAGGAACACCGGCGGCGAAGGCAGCCUGCUGGACUGAAACUGACGUUGAGGCUCGAAAGCGUGGGGAGCAAACAGGAUUAGAUACCCCAGUAGUC